rfam:Brassica rapa chromosome A6, whole genome shotgun sequence.
AUUGGGCUUAGUUAGGAGGCAUAAAUCAAUCUGAUCUUUUUGAUACUUUUCUGUAUUGGUUUGAUCUUAAUGACUUGAGGUCUUUUGAGGAGGAGCUCUGCUUUCUUGCUGCUUCUCCCAAGCAGCCUCAGACAUUA